rnacentral:rRNA from 1 species
AUGAGGCCGCGGCCCGGAGGACGCCGAGGACGCCGAGGGCGGCGCCGAGCACUUCUGCGCAUGGGCGGGAUCCUCGACUACGGCAUCGAGGACGCCGAGGACGGCGCCGCCUGCGACCGCAACGUCGCCGGCUUCCUCGCCGCCGUCGACGUCGCCGCCAAGCUGCCCCCGGGAUCGGCGAGCGUGUGUAUCAAGAUCACGGCGCUGUGCCCGAUCGCGCUGCUGGAGAAGACGAGCGACCUGCUGCGGUGGCAGCACAAGAACCCGUCGGUGCACCUGCCGUGGAAGCAGCACGCCUUCCCGAUCCUGUCCGACUCGAGCCCGCUGUACCUGACGCCGUCGGAGCCGGCGGCGCUGACGGCGGAGGAGGAGCGCGAGCUGCAGCUGGCGCACGACCGGCUGCUGGCCGUGGGCGCGCGGUGCGCGGAGCACGGCAUCCCGCUGCUGGUGGACGCCGAGUACGCGUCGGUGCAGCCGUCCAUCGACUACUUCACUUUCGUGGGCGCGCUGGCGUGCAACGGCGGUGGCCGGCCCAUCGUGCACGGCACCGUGCAGGCGUACCUCCGCGACGCGCGCGACCGGCUGGAGGCCAUGGUGCGCGCCGCCGAGGAGGAGCGCGUCUGCCUCGGGGUCAAGAUCGUCCGCGGCGCCUACCUCACCCGGGAGGCCCGGCUGGCGGAGUCGCUGGGCGUGCCGUCGCCGAUCCACGGCAGCAUCCAGGACACCCACGACUGCUACAACGGCUGCGCGGCCUUCCUCCUGGAGCGCGUCCGCCGCGGGUCCGCCUCCGUGAUGCUGGCCACCCACAACGUGGAGUCCGGGCAGCUGGCGGCGGCGAGGGCGCAGGAGCUGGGCAUCGGCAAGGGCGACCGGAACCUGCAGUUCGCGCAGCUGAUGGGCAUGGCGGACGGGCUCUCCCUGGGGCUCCGCAACGCCGGCUUCCAGGUGAGCAAGUACCUGCCCUACGGCCCCGUGGAGCACAUCAUCCCCUACCUCAUCCGGCGGGCCGAGGAGAACAGAGGGCUGCUCUCCGCUUCCGCCUUCGACAGGCAGCUGCUCCGGAAGGAGCUGGUUAGGAGGUUCAAGAACGCGGUGAUGGGACGGGAGUGA